CAAAUGUCUUCUACAAUGAUUAGAUUUAAGGUUUUCCUUGCUGUUAUCGUCUUGUCUGCAAACUGGAGUGGUUCUGAUGGUCAAACACUGACUGAGUCUGAAUCAGUGGUUAAAAGGCCUGGAGAAUCUCACAGACUGACCUGCACAUAUUCUGGGUUUAGUAGCGAUCCUCAUAUAGCUUGGAUCAGACAGGCGGCUGGAAAAGGACUAGAAUGGAUCGCUUUAAUCUGGGAUGACAGCAGCGGCAUGUACUACUCUGACUCAGUAAGAGGCCGGUUCAUCGUUUCCAGAGACAACAGCAGAAGUCAAGUUUAUCUGCAGAUGAACAGCCUGACAGCUGGAGAUUCUGCUGUUUAUUACUGCGCUCGAGAGCCACAGUGA